GACGAACGCUGGCGGCGUGCUUAACACAUGCAAGUCGAACGAUGAAGCUAGAGCUUGCUCUGGUGGAUUAGUGGCGAACGGGUGAGUAACACGUGAGUAACCUGCCCCGAACUCUGGGAUAACUGCUGGAAACGGUAGCUAAUACCGGAUAUGACCAAUGAAGGCAUCUUCUGUUGGUGGAAAGAAUUUCGGUUCGGGAUGGACUCGCGGCCUAUCAGCUUGUUGGUGAGGUAACGGCUCACCAAGGCGACGACGGGUAGCCGGCCUGAGAGGGGAAUCGGCCACACUGGGACUGAGACACGGCCCAGACUCCUACGGGAGGCAGCAGUGGGGAAUAUUGCACAAUGGGCGCAAGCCUGAUGCAGCAACGCCGCGUGAGGGACGACGGCCUUCGGGUUGUAAACCUCUUUUAGUAGGGAAGAAGCGAGAGUGACGGUACCUGCAGAAAAAGCACCGGCUAACUACGUGCCAGCCGCCGCCGUAA
rnacentral:rRNA from 1 species